UGCGUAGGUGGUCCGUUAAGUUCGUUGUGAAAUCCCUGGGCUCAACCCAGGAACUGCUUCGAAUACUGGCGGACUUGAGGCCAGUAGGGGUCACUAGAACUGACGGUGGAGCGGUGAAAUGCGUAGAUAUCGUCAGGAAUGCCGGUGGUGAAGACGGGUGACUGGGCUGGUUCUGACACUGAGGCACGAAAGCGUGGGGGAGCGAACGGGAUUAGAUACCCCGGUAGUCCACGCCCUAAACGAUGCAGACUAGAUUGCAGCGGGUCUUACCCCGUUGCGGUCGGAGCGAAAUUGUUAAGUCUGCCACCUGGGAAGUACGGUCGCAAGGCUAAA
rnacentral:rRNA from 1 species